rnacentral:rRNA from 1 species
UACGUAGGUGGCAAGCGUUAUCCGGAAUUAUUGAGCGUAAAGAGCGCGCAGGUGGUUGAUUAAGUCUGAUGUGAAAGCCCACGGCUUAACCGUGGAGGGUCAUUGGAAACUGGUCGACUUGAGUGCAGAAGAGGGAAGUGGAAUUCCAUGUGUAGCGGUGAAAUGCGUAGAGAUAUGGAGGAACACCAGUGGCGAAGGCGGCUUCCUGGUCUGUAAACUGACACUGAGGCGCGAAAGCGUGGGGAGGCAAACAGGAUUAGA